rnacentral:rRNA from 1 species
GACGAACGCUGGCGGCGUGCCUAAUACAUGCAAGUAGAACGCACAGUUUAUACCGUAGCUUGCUACACCAUAGACUGUGAGUUGCGAACGGGUGAGUAACGCGUAGGUAACCUGCCUGGUAGCGGGGGAUAACUAUUGGAAACGCUAGCUAAUACCGCAUAAUAUUGAUUAUUGCAUGAUAAUUGAUUGAAAGAUGCUAUUGCAUCACUACCAGAUGGACCUGCGUUGUAUUAGCUAGUAGGUGAGGUAACGGCUCACCUAGGCGACGAUACAUAGCCGACCUGGGAGGGUGGACGGCCACACUGGGACUGGGGCACGGCCCAGAAUCCUACGGGAGGCAGCAGUAGGGAAUCUUCGGCAAUGGACGGAAGUCUGACCGAGCAACGCCGCGUGAGUGAAGAAGGUUUUCGGAUCGUAAAGCUCUGUUGUAAGAGAAGAACGAGUGUGGGAGUGGAAAGUUCACACUGUGACGGUAUCUUACCAGAAAGGGACGGCUAACUACGUG